rnacentral:rRNA from 1 species
GAUGAACGCUGGCGGCGUGCCUAAUACAUGCAAGUCGAGCGAACGGACGAGAAGCUUGCUUCUCUGAUGUUAGCGGCGGACGGGUGAGUAACACGUGGAUAACCUACCUAUAAGACUGGGAUAACUUCGGGAAACCGUAGCUAAUACCGGAUAAUAUUUUGAACCGCAUGGUUCAAAAGUGAAAGACGGUCUUGCUGUCACUUAUAGAUGGAUCCGCGCUGCAUUAGCUAGUUGGUAAGGUAACGGCUUACCAAGGCAACGAUGCAUAGCCGACCUGAGAGGGUGAUCGGCCACACUGGAACUGAGACACGGUCCAGACUCCUACGGGAGGCAGCAGUAGGGAAUCUUCCGCAAUGGGCGAAAGCCUGACGGAGCAACGCCGCGUGAGUGAUGAAGGUCUUCGGAUCGUAAAACUCUGUUAUUAGGGAAGAACAUAUGUGUAAGUAACUGUGCACAUCUUGACGGUCCCUAAUCAGAAAGCCACGGCUAACUACGUG